GGCUAAUGGUGGACUCUGGGAGGGCUCACACCAAUGAGCACUUCUCAGAACCCCUGCUGCCAGUGCCCUGUCUCCUCAGUGAGCCACAGCUGCCCCCCACAGCAACCCUCCAACACCAGCAGUAGGGACAAGAAGAUAUGUGAUUCGGUACUCCUUAAUAAUUAUUCUGCUUGGGCCCUCACAGUGGUGACAGAACACGAACAAGGGAGCUUCUAAAGGCCACCUGUGUACCAUGGCUCAUGGGCACCCCACCCUCCAUUUCCAAGGCCAGCAAUGAAUGACACAGAAGAGUACCUCCUAGGAAAAACGCCGCACACUCACCAGACCCUCAGAGCCAUCAACUUCCUGGUUAUCCCAACAGGAAACUCCUUACUGUUGUCCAUAGUGGUUGUACCAAUUUAUAAUCCCACCAGCAGUGCACAGGGUUCCCUUUCCUCCACAUCGUUGCCAACGCUUGUUGUUGUCUUUUCAACGAAAACCAUUCUGGCAGAUGUAAGGUAGCAUCUCAUUGUGGUUUUGGUUUGCAUUUCCUUGAUUAUUAGUAAUGUUAAACAUCUUUUCAUGUACCUCUUGGCCAUCCAUAUGUCGUCUUUGGAAAAAUAUCUAUUCAGGUCUUUUACUCAUUUAUUUAAUUGGGUUUGUUUUUUAAUACUGA